UUGCAUAUUGUGUAAACUUUUCUUAUUACCAGUAAUUCAUACACAUUUAAUUUCUGGUUUGAAUUAUAUGCUAAAUUAACUUGAGAUCUCAGGGCCAGUAGCUAAAAGACUAUGCUACAUGGUAGUAUAGAUCUCAAACAUUG